UGAGUGGCGAACUGGUGAGUAACACGUGGGAAACCUGCCCAGAAGCGGGGGAUAACACCUGGAAACAGAUGCUAAUACCGCAUAACAACUUGGACCGCAUGGUCCGAGUUUGAAAGAUGGCUUCGGCUAUCACUUUUGGAUGGUCCCGCGGCGUAUUAGCUAGAUGGUGGGGUAACGGCUCACCAUGGCAAUGAUACGUAGCCGACCUGAGAGGGUAAUCGGCCACAUUGGGACUGAGACACGGCCCAAACUCCUACGGGAGGCAGCAGUAGGGAAUCUUCCACAAUGGACGAAAGUCUGAUGGAGCAACGCCGCGUGAGUGAAGAAGGGUUUCGGCUCGUAAAACUCUGUUGUUAAAGAAGAACAUAUCUGAGAGUAACUGUUCAGGUAUUGACGGUAUUUAACCAGAAAGCCACGGCUAACUACGUGCCAGCAGCCGCGGUAAUACGUAGGUGGCAAGCGUUGUCCGGAUUUAUUGGGCGUAAAGCGAGCGCAGGCGGUUUUUUAAGUCUGAUGUGAAAGCCUUCGGCUCAACCGAAGAAGUGCAUCGGAAACUGGGAAACUUGAGUGCAGAAGAGGACAGUGGAACUCCAUGUGUAGCGGUGAAAUGCGUAGAUAUAUGGAAGAACACCAGUGGCGAAGGCGGCUGUCUGGUCUGUAACUGACGCUGAGGCUCGAAAGUAUGGGUAGCAAACAGGAUUAGAUACCCUGGUAGUCCAUACCGUAAACGAUGAAUGCUAAGUGUUGGAGGGUUUCCGCCCUUCAGUGCUGCAGCUAACGCAUUAAGCAUUCCGCCUGGGGAGUACGGCCGCAAGGCUGAAACUCAAAGGAAUUGACGGGGGCCCGCACAAGCGGUGGAGCAUGUGGUUUAAUUCGAAGCUACGCGAAGAACCUUACCAGGUCUUGACAUACUAUGCAAAUCUAAGAGAUUAGACGUUCCCUUCGGGGACAUGGAUACAGGUGGUGCAUGGUUGUCGUCAGCUCGUGUCGUGAGAUGUUGGGUUAAGUCCCGCAACGAGCGCAACCCUUAUUAUCAGUUGCCAGCAUUAAGUUGGGCACUCUGGUGAGACUGCCGGUGACAAACCGGAGGAAGGUGGGGAUGACGUCAAAUCAUCAUGCCCCUUAUGACCUGGGCUACACACGUGCUACAAUGGAUGGUACAACGAGUUGCGAACUCGCGAGAGUAAGCUAAUCUCUUAAAGCCAUUCUCAGUUCGGAUUGUAGGCUGCAACUCGCCUACAUGAAGUCGGAAUCGCUAGUAAUCGCGGAUCAGCAUGCCGCGGUGAAUACGUUCCCGGGCCUUGUACACACCGCCCGUCACACCAUGAGAGUUUGUAACACCCAAAGUCGGUGGGGUAACCUUUUAGGAACCAGCCGCCUAAGGUGGGACAGAUGAUUAGGGUGAAGUCGUAACAAGGUAGCCGUAGGAGA
rnacentral:rRNA from 1 species